GUGUCUCCUAGGGGAGGAAGAGACUCAGGUGUGAAGGAAGAAAAAGCGUGAGGAGACCGCUAGAGAGAAAGAGCAUGGGUUUGAGUGCAGCCUGCCCCCUAAAAGCACUGGGUUGACACACACAACCAGAAGGCCAGCUUUCUAGAAGCUCAGCUCCACAUCAACCAGCCUGAUACGAGCAAAGUGUAUGGCCAAAAUUCACGCCAGAAGCCCACCUUUCCAGAAGGCAAGCUGCACUCCAUCGUGAUUCUAGAAAACUGCACACCCAAGACUCAAACCAGGUCCCUGUGGAUCCAGAGAUCUGCCUUCAGACAGUCAAAGGGCCCUCAGAACCCAGACUAGUG